CUAGAAUUUCCUUCGAAUACUCGUAUAGUAUCAGGAAUUGGCCUGACAGUUUCUACCGCUCGACCGUAAAUCGGGCGACUACGAGGUGAGGACUUCGGAUU
rnacentral:ncRNA from 2 species